UACGUAGGGGCUAGCGUUAUCCGGAUUUACUGGGCGUAAAGGGUGCGUAGGUGGUUUCUUAAGUCAGAGGUGAAAGGCUGCGGCUCAACCGUAGUAAGCCUUUGAAACUGGGAAACUUGAGUGCAGGAGAGGAGAGUGGAAUUCCUAGUGUAGCGGUGAAAUGCGUAGAGAUUGGGAGGAACACCAGUGGCGAAGGCGACUUACUGGGCCGUAACUGACACUGAGGCACGAAAGCGUGGGGAGCAAACAGGAUUAGAUACCCCGGUAGUCCCUGAGCGGGCU
rnacentral:rRNA from 1 species